UGGUGUGGUGACACUGGGGUGAGAGUACAGAUGGUUGUUAGAAAAUAAUUUGCACUGAGCGUGACUAAUACAAGAAAUCACUUGGAUGUCUACUCAUUCAUCAAUAGUCUUCUCGAUGCUGCAGUGGUGUGAGUGAUCCUUUGACCUGUAAUGUCAUUGGUUAUUCGCAGUGAUGUUACUGAAUUUGAUUGCACGUUUUCUUGAUUCCUAGCCAUUUGGAUCUUUGCUGUAUAUGUUGGCUAUAGUAUC
rnacentral:lncRNA from 1 species